GAGUUCCGCCACACUCUGUCCAUGCGUGGAGUUUUCUUGCAAAUGCUUUUGAGCAGAAAUUCCUUCAGGAUGAAACGGCUCGCCAGUCAGCCCCGAAAAUUACCCAGGAGUCGAAUAUUAAACGCCAAAAGAUGAUUAUCGUCAGAAGGUACACACUGAGGCAAUUAGAGAAUGCUCCCAAGAAUAAACAAUCAUGCAAUAUGGAUCAAAAUCGAG